AUUGAACGCUGGCGGCAGGCCUAACACAUGCAAGUCGAGCGGAUGAAGGGAGCUUGCUCCUGGAUUCAGCGGCGGACGGGUGAGUAAUGCCUAGGAAUCUGCCUGGUAGUGGGGGAUAACGUCCGGAAACGGGCGCUAAUACCGCAUACGUCCUGAGGGAGAAAGUGGGGGAUCUUCGGACCUCACGCUAUCAGAUGAGCCUAGGUCGGAUUAGCUAGUUGGUGGGGUAAAGGCCUACCAAGGCGACGAUCCGUAACUGGUCUGAGAGGAUGAUCAGUCACACUGGAACUGAGACACGGUCCAGACUCCUACGGGAGGCAGCAGUGGGGAAUAUUGGACAAUGGGCGAAAGCCUGAUCCAGCCAUGCCGCGGGUGUGAAGAAGGUCUUCGGAUUGUAAAGCACUUUAAGUUGGGAGGAAGGGCAGUAAGUUAAUACCUUGCUGUUUUGACGUUACCAACAGAAUAAGCACCGGCUAACUUCGUG
rnacentral:rRNA from 1 species